CUGCUCCUACGGGGCGCAGCAGUAGGGAAUAUUGCUCAAUGGGGGAAACCCUGAAGCAGCAACGCCGCGUGGAGGAUGAAGGUUUUAGGAUUGUAAACUCCUUUUGUGAGAGAAGAUAAUGACGGUAUCUCACGAAUAAGCACCGGCUAACUCCGUGCCAGCAGCCGCGGUAAUACGGAGGGUGCAAGCGUUACUCGGAAUCACUGGGCGUAAAGAGUGAGCAGGCGGGCUUGUAAGGCAGAUGUGAA
rnacentral:rRNA from 1 species